rnacentral:rRNA from 1 species
GAAUGCUGACAUAAGUAACGAUAAAGCGGGUGAAAAGCCCGCUCGCCGGAAGACCAAGGGUUCCUGUCCAACGUUAAUCGGGGCAGGGUGAGUCGACCCCUAAGGCGAGGCCGAAAGGCGUAGUCGAUGGGAAACAGGUUAAUAUUCCUGUACUUGGUGUUACUGCGAAGGGGGGACGGAGAAGGCUAUGUUGGCCGGGCGACGGUUGUCCCGGUUUAAGCGUGUAGGCUGGUUUUCCAGGCAAAUCCGGAAAAUCAAGGCUGAGGCGUGAUGACGAGGCACUACGGUGCUGAAGCGACAAAUGCCCUGCUUCCAGGAAAAGCCUCUAAGCAUCAGGUAACAUCAAAUCGUACCCCAAACCGACACAGGUGGUCAGGUAGAGAAUACCAAGGCGCUUGAGAGAACUCGGGUGAAGGAACUAGGCAAAAUGGUGCCGUAACUUCGGGAGAAGGCACGCUGAUAUGUAGGUGAAGCGACUUGCUCGUGGAGCUGAAAUCAGUCGAAGAUACCAGCUGGCUGCAACUGUUUAUUAAAAACACAGCACUGUGCAAACACGAAAGUGGACGUAUACGGUGUGACGCCUGCCCGGUGCCGGAAGGUUAAUUGAUGGGGUUAGCGGUAACGCGAAGCUCUUGAUCGAAGCCCCGGUAAACGGCGGCCGUAACUAUAACGGUCCUAAGGUAGCGAAAUUCCUUGUCGGGUAAGUUCCGACCUGCACGAAUGGCGUAAUGAUGGCCAGGCUGUCUCCACCCGAGACUCAGUGAAAUUGAACUCGCUGUGAAGAUGCAGUGUACCCGCGGCAAGACGGAAAGACCCCGUGAACCUUUACUAUAGCUUGACACUGAACAUUGAGCCUUGAUGUGUAGGAUAGGUGGGAGGCUUUGAAGUGUGGACGCCAGUCUGCAUGGAGCCGACCUUGAAAUACCACCCUUUAAUGUUUGAUGUUCUAACGUGGGCCCCUUACCGGGGUUGCGGACAGUGUCUGGUGGGUAGUUUGACUGGGGCGGUCUCCUCCUAAAGAGUAACGGAGGAGCACGAAGGUUGGCUAAUCCUGGUCGGACAUCAGGAGGUUAGUGCAAUGGCAUAAGCCAGCUUGACUGCGAGCGUGACGGCGCGAGCAGGUGCGAAAGCAGGUCAUAGUGAUCCGGUGGUUCUGAAUGGAAGGGCCAUCGCUCAACGGAUAAAAGGUACUCCGGGGAUAACAGGCUGAUACCGCCCAAGAGUUCAUAUCGACGGCGGUGUUUGGCACCUCGAUGUCGGCUCAUCACAUCCUGGGGCUGAAGUAGGUCCCAAGGGUAUGGCUGUUCGCCAUUUAAAGUGGUACGCGAGCUGGGUUUAGAACGUCGUGAGACAGUUCGGUCCCUAUCUGCCGUGGGCGCUGGAGAACUGAGGGGGGCUGCUCCUAGUACGAGAGGACCGGAGUGGACGCAUCACUGGUGUUCGGGUUGUCAUGCCAAUGGCACUGCCCGGUAGCUAAAUGCGGAAGAGAUAAGUGCUGAAAGCAUCUAAGCACGAAACUUGCCCCGAGAUGAGUUCUCCCUGACUCCUUGAGAGUC